rnacentral:misc_RNA from 1 species
UUUCCGUAUGUGAACCUGCGGAAGGAUCAUUAGUGAACGCCCUCACGGGCUUAUAACUAUUCUAAACCUCUGUGAACCGUGACCUUCGGGGCUACUUUACAAACAUGGUGUAAUGAACGUCAUAAAUCAUAACAAAAAAAACUUUCAACAACGGAUCUAUUGGUUCUG